GGGCAAGUCUCUAUGAAGCCAGACAAAGAAUAUUUACAGGCAAAAAACAGCUUCUAGGGAUCUGCAAGCAAAACAACUAUUGGAGCUCACACAGUUCUGGAGCCAUUUGAGACACUAGCCAGUGUGGGGAAACCUCAGUGAACACCCCAGGAAUUUAGCAGAGCAGAGAAAUUCCCAUUCAAUCCACAGUGCUGUUCAAGCCUGGAAUUUAAACGAGAACGAGAGAAGACGACCACGUGGACAAGGAAUUUCAUGCUGCUGGAAGAUGUUACAUUGACAGCCGAGAGAUAAUUUCCGUUUUUAAUCCAGAGAACAAGAGUCACUUGGGAAGUGACUAUAAAUGUCCUCUGGGUGUCCCAGAGAUAUGCCUCAUCCCCGUGCUGGAAGGAACACACCUCUGGGAAGGAAACAACUUUGAUCAAAAGAAGAGGAAGAAGAAGAAAUUGGGGAAGGAAGUCUUAUUAAGAAUACCCAGUCCUGCCAGUCCCCACUGGAGAACUGCGCAGGUCUUCAUGAACCUCCCUGUGGAUCCCCAAGGAUCUGAUACUUAACAGAUUCCUGCAAAACUCUAUUAAGCAUAUCAGUUCACCUCAUGGUUUAGUCACUGACUGAAAUGGAAGACAUUAGUUAAGGUCAAGAUUUUACAUUUAAAAAUAGUUAUUGUCAACAAGGAACUGGAGAAAUGUUCUUGACAGCAACCCAGUAUUUUUUAUGUUUUGUCACAGUAUUUAUAUGUUUUCUUUGGGGCCAGCACCUUAUGUUCAUUAUGUUACCAAAUCCAAUAUGGACGAAUAAUAGUGCAUCACAGCCUAUCUGCAAAUAGUGCGUCUUACCCACACUGGGGUAAUUGCCUUUCCAGAUCAGGAUAUUUCCAAAACUGCAGUAGACUACAGUCUGUCUUGAUGGGCAA
rnacentral:lncRNA from 1 species